GCCGACGUAGCUCAGUUGGUUAGAGCAUAGCAUUCAUAAAGCUAAGGUCGGAGGUUCGAUCCCUCCCGUCGGCA
rfam:Parcubacteria group bacterium CG1_02_37_13 cg1_0.2_scaffold_3554_c, whole genome shotgun sequence.